UUCAAUGGGCCACACAGCUCCAAACUAGAGUCGUCAGUCAGUCAUUUUAAUUCAUGACAGACACAAUGUUGUAUUCGUAAUUUCAUGGAUUUUGGCAUUCGUAGGAGCAACACAAGAUUUAGGGAACGUUGUAAUCCCAGCGUGUAAUCCCAAGGCCUACGGAGGGGUUUGUUACCGAGCCGACAAAUGAACUGGAGCUUCCAAACAAGCUCCUGUAAAGAUGCUCUCUCUCCAACUUAGAGGAGUCUAGGGGAGUUUGCCUUUAAUUAGAGAGGUGACAAGGAAGACAUGAGGCUGUACAGAUGCUGGAUUCUGUCACCCGAUGUGGAAAUCACACCCUUACCGCAGAGCAGGCCGGAGAGGUUACCAUGGGGACGAAAUUACAGAACAUCUCCGGACCCCGGUGGAACUCUACAUGUGCUUGCCAACAUGUACAGAAUGACCCGGUUCCCGGACGCACUGAAUACCCUGGGAUCUAUCCUUAGCCCUGCAUUUUUCCAUACCAUCCCAUACCCCCCCCCCC